AGACCCGAAACCCGGUGAUCUAGCCAUGGGCAGGUUGAAGGUUGGGUAACACUAACUGGAGGACCGAACCGACUAAUGUUGAAAAAUUAGCGGAUGACCUGUGGCUGGGGGUGAAAGGCCAAUCAAACCGGGAGAUAGCUGGUUCUCCCCGAAAGCUAUUUAGGUAGCGCCUCGUGAAUUCAUCUCCGGGGGUAGAGCACUGUUUCGGCUAGGGGGCCAUCCCGGCUUACCAACCCGAUGCAAACUGCGAAUACCGGAGAAUGUUAUCACGGGAGACACACGGCGGGUGCUAACGUCCGUCGUGAAGAGGGAAACAACCCAGACCGCCAGCUAAGGUCCCAAAGUCAUGGUUAAGUGGGAAACGAUGUGGGAAGGCCCAGACAGCCAGGAUGUUGGCUUAGAAGCAGCCAUCAUUUAAAGAAAGCGUAAUAGCUCACUGGUCGAGUCGGCCUGCGCGGAAGAUGUAACGGGGCUAAACCAUGCACCGAAGCUGCGGCAGCGACACUGUGUGUUGUUGGGUAGGGGAGCGUUCUGUAAGCCUGUGAAGGUGUGUCGUGAGGCAUGCUGGAGGUAUCAGAAGUGCGAAUGCUGACAUAAGUAACGAUAAAGCGGGUGAAAAGCCCGCUCGCCGGAAGACCAAGGGUUCCUGUCCAACGUUAAUCGGGGCAGGGUGAGUCGACCCCUAAGGCGAGGCCGAAAGGCGUAGUCGAUGGGAAACGGGUUAAUAUUCCCGUACUUGGUGUUACUGCGAAGGGGGGACGGAGAAGGCUAUGUUGGCCGGGCGACGGUUGUCCCGGUUUAAGCGUGUAGGUGUGUGUUCCAGGUAAAUCCGGUUCACUUUAACACUGAGGCGUGACGACGAGGCACUACGGUGCUGAAGCAACAAAUGCCCUGCUUCCAGGAAAAGCCUCUAAGCAUCAGGUAACAUCAAAUCGUACCCCAAACCGACACAGGUGGUCAGGUAGAGAAUACCAAGGCGCUUGAGAGAACUCGGGUGAAGGAACUAGGCAAAAUGGUGCCGUAACUUCGGGAGAAGGCACGCUGACACGUAGGUGAAGUGAUUUACUCAUGGAGCUGAAGUCAGUCGAAGAUACCAGCUGGCUGCAACUGUUUAUUAAAAACACAGCACUGUGCAAACAUGAAAGUGGACGUAUACGGUGUGACGCCUGCCCGGUGCCGGAAGGUUAAUUGAUGGGGUCAGCGCAAGCGAAGCUCCUGAUCGAAGCCCCGGUAAACGGCGGCCGUAACUAUAACGGUCCUAAGGUAGCGAAAUUCCUUGUCGGGUAAGUUCCGACCUGCACGAAUGGCGUAAUGAUGGCCAGGCUGUCUCCACCCGAGACUCAGUGAAAUUGAACUCGCUGUGAAGAUGCAGUGUACCCGCGGCAAGACGGAAAGACCCCGUGAACCUUUACUAUAGCUUGACACUGAACAUUGAGCCUUGAUGUGUAG
rnacentral:rRNA from 1 species